UCAGCCCGAGUCCACAGGAUUACGAUACCU
rnacentral:piRNA from 1 species